GGGGGUGUAGCUCAGUGAAAGAGCAUUUGCCUAAAAUGCAUGAGUCCCUGGAUUCAUCCCCA
rnacentral:tRNA from 1 species